rnacentral:rRNA from 1 species
UGAACGCUAGCGGCAGGCUUAAUACAUGCAAGUCGAGGGGCAGCACGGUAUAGCAAUAUAUGGGUGGCGACCGGCAAACGGGUGCGGAACACGUACACAACCUUCCGGUGAGCGGGGGAUAGCCCAGAGAAAUUUGGAUUAAUACCCCAUACUAUAAUGAUCAGGCAUCUGGUUAUUAUCAAAGGCUUCGGCCGCUUAUUGAUGGGUGUGCGUCUGAUUAGGUAGUUGGCGGGGUAGAGGCCCACCAAGCCUACGAUCAGUAGCUGAUGUGAGAGCAUGAUCAGCCACACGGGCACUGAGACACGGGCCCGACUCCUACGGGAGGCAGCAGUAAGGAAUAUUGGACAAUGGACGCAAGUCUGAUCCAGCCAUGCCGCGUGAAGGAUGAAUGCCCUCUGGGUUGUAAACUUCUUUUACAGGGGAAGAAAGUUAUCUUUUUUAGGAUAUUUGACGGUACCCUAUGAAUAAGCACCGGCUAACUCCGU